GUUCGAAUCAGGGAAGGAACUGAAUUCUGUUAUGACAAUGGCAAUUCUCUUUGGUUGCAAUUUAUAUAACAGGUUGCAGGGUUACGUAUAAGAAGGGCAUACAAUGGACAGGACUAUUCAAUACAUGCAGACAAUAAUGUAAGUAUUACAUGAAUUAGGGGCGGAAAGCGAGGCUAUUAAUGCCACAUGCGAGGGAGGAAGAAAAGAAGGGAGGAGGAGGAGUAUAAGUAAAGGGCGAAGGGCACAUUUAAAGCAUACUUACCUGGGCGGGGUCAAUCGGUGAUCAAGAAGGCCGAUGGCCUAGAGAGAGCACCUUCAUUGCACAUAGAGAAGGGGGCCCUGUCUAGCAUCUCCCAUUGUGGAGAGUGCACGUCAUAAUUUGUGACAGCGGGGGCUCGCGUUCGCGCGGCCCCCACACCAAUCGAAUAAAAUUCAAAGGUUGCAGGGUUACGUAUAAGGUCCGUUUGAUCAUUCCCCUUAUUUCUGUUUACGUAUACGGUUUGUUUGACCAUUCUCCUUAUUUCAGACCAGAGAGGUUAUAAGAGUAAAUGUCUAUUUCAUUCGUAUUUGUUUGAACCCUUGACUAAAUAUAACGUACGAACCCUUGACUAAAUAUAAGGUCUGCUUGAUCAUUUCCCUUUUUCCAGUCCAGAGGGGAUAAAUAUAACAUCUGUUUGAUCAUUGUUUGAACCCUUGAGCAAACAUAACGUCUGUUUGAUCUUUUCCUUUAUUCUAGUCCAGAGGGGAUAAAUAGAGGGUUAUAGAGAGUAAACAUCU